rnacentral:lncRNA from 10 species
AGUUUUUAAAUUAUUGAUCAUAUUUUUAAUUUUUUUUCAGUUGUAACAUUUUCAUUUCUUAUUAAUUGGUAAGAACUUUUUACAUAUUAAGUGUAUUAAGUAUGUAUAUGUCAUGUUAUGUAGUUAUAAAAUUAUAAAGUUAAAAAUUAAGCAUUUUGCUACUUUGGUAAAUUUCCAGAGUAUGUUAUUUUUUAAAAAGCAACAGGUAAUUAGUAAAGAAAUUGAUCAAAUGAAAAAACCUAUACAUUCAUGACUCAUGUCUUACAUAUGUAAGCAAUAGACUAAAUGAAUAUAUCUUAUUUCAUUUUCAGUAAAUCUUUUUCUUAUUAAUAAUACAUAAAUUCUAAAACACUAAAUAACUACAUUGUUUCACUUAGUAGGAGGUCAUACAAAUGAUAUCUUAAUAGUAACAAAUAUAAUAAUUAUUAAAUCUCUUAGGUCUUUUGGUUUGGGGAAAACAACAAGAACACAGACAAACUUUGAUGUCUCCCUUAAACAUAUUUUCUUCCUUUAGGGGCAGUAGUAUAUCCACAAAAAGUUAGAAAGGCAAAAUCAACAGCUUUUUUAAACAGAAAAACAAAGCCACAACAAUAAAGCUACCUAUCUAUAAUGACAAGUAUUUUUUAAUGAUUACAUCUUUAAAAUUUAGAUUUCUUCUAGGAGUUACCAGCCAUGUCUUCCAGGCAAGUCACAUAUGCAGCUGAGAAAACACCAGAUAGAGCUGCAAAGAUAAAAAUAUACCUUUAAAAAGUACCACUGUGGUAAACUUUCCUUGACUGCACUAGAAACAGGCAUGGAGGAGCAGGUGGGUGUGAGAACUGCGCCUUUUAACAGAAGCAUCAGGUCUUAGGAAGAGGAAGAAACAAAUACUUUGAGGGAAUUUUUUUCUUGGUCUUUUAGUUUUUAGAGGAGCAAUCAAAAUGAACUCCAGAUGUAUUAAAGAUCCCAUGUACAUGCUAAUGUUAAUUAUAAAAUUAUUGGUGAUAAUAAGAUCCAUUGUUUACUAAAAUUUUUCCACUACUCAGGAUGCUGAGGCAGGAGAAUCCCUUGAGGCUAGGAGCUGGGGUCCAGCUUGGGCAACAGAGCCAGAUCCCCAUCUCUAGAAAAUAAAUUUAAAAAUUAAACAUUUCAUGCAUGCAAAGCAUUAUAUAAGUUGCUAUAGUGAGAGCCAAAUAGAAACAAAUAGAAAAUCAUUUCUUGUUCCUCAUGAAGACUUUGGUUGUUAAUUUUUUAAAAUGUACCAUCCACCUAUUGAAAAACUUUAAAUUAUUAGUGGACACCAUUAUGGAGAAGCCUAUAUAACAUUCUGAUAUUACAAAAUUAAUGCAAAGAAAUUGUUCACAAUAAAAUUACUUUAAAUUUGCUUUAAUUUUUUUUCACGCUACCUUGGCCAAUAUUUUAUUAUAGUCAAUUUAAUUCAUUCAUUCAUUCUAUAAAUAUUUCUGUACUAAUUUUAGGUAAUGUUCUGCUCAAUCAUCAUUUAAUUUGCUGUGCUAUUGGUUUCUGUUAAUAUAUUCCUCAAUCUUGGAGAACAUUUUAAAUAAUUGCCUAUUCAGCAUUUCUAUGGACAUUGUUCAGCCCAGUUCCAUUUUGUUAAUGCACAAAGCAAUUCAAUUUCUGUAAGUGCAGGCUAGGAGCAGCCAAAGCUGUCCUUGUAGUACCUUCAGAGGCAGUUAAUAAGGGCUGGCUGACAUUUAUGACUUAUCUUUUCUGUGUGUUUAACCAUUACUAUUUUUCCACCAGUAAAUUUUCAAGCUAAUGCGGCAAAACCAAUAUUGAUUCUGACAUUUAUGCUUUAUAUUUUGAAAUUUAUUUUGACCAUUACUUAUUAUUUUAUUGCUGUUACUUUGAAAAUAUUAUACAUUUUCAUUGUAUAAAAUGUCAUUAGACCGUGCAAAAAGUUUAUUUCUUGUAAAUAAUUACUUUAGGAGUUUGAGUGCAUCUACGGUUCCUUCUGUUAUUCUUUCUAAUCAAGAGUCUGAUUACAUAAAACAAUCAAAACGUGACUUAAAGAUGUUCAAAAUAAUUUUGAUGAACAUGUUCAAAAUUUAAAAAGUCAUCUGCAUUAAAAAAUUUUAUUAAUAAAGCUGUAUGAAACAGUGACUUUUUUCCAAGCAG